UCUAAGUCUGGUCCCUGGACUCCGGCCCGAGGGAAGCAGGGGCUGGGGGCGGAGCAAGGUGGAAGCCUCGGCGGAUCUGGGGCCGGGAGACCAAGACGUGGGAAUCCAGGAAGAAGAGUCCAGGCGCGGGAGGGGUGAACGUGGCCCCCCUCCCGGUGGCUUGCUCAACUUUUCCCUCCCUUCCCCUCCCCCAGCCCGGAGCCGCUACCUCCCGAGCCCUUCCCCUGGGGAGCCAGGCGGGUGGGGGUGGGGCUGAGGAGUCCCCGGGAACCCCAGAGAGCCUCGGCCUCAAGAGAACCGGUCCAGGAAGCCGGGAAGCCCUCCGAGGUGACCCAGCGCACCACCACCCCAUUUACAGAUGGGCAAACUGAGGGUUUCUAGGGCUUCGUGCCCCGUGGCCUCAUUCCCCCUGCCGUCCCUCCGUGACGGAGCCCCGGCUGCCUUUCCCGAGAGGAGCCGAGGCCGGCCGGAAUUCAAGGCUUGGAGUCCUGAAGGCCAGUCAUCUCGGCGAGGCUGCCAAGUGGCCCGAAGCCCUCUUAUAACUGCAGGCCCCUGGACCCUCCCACCCACACCCAGUCCUGCCUGCCUGGACCCUGGGCCGAUCUAGCCCCCUCCAGCCCCAUCAUGAAGUCCUUUCUGCCCUUCGCCGUGCUGGUCGUCCUGCUGGUUUUUUUGGCAGAAGGCCCCAGGCCGGCCCAGGCCUCCUCGAGUCUGGCCCAGAGCUUUGAACAGUUCCAGAAGAAGGUGAAGGAGUUUACAGAAACUGUGGUGGAGAAGACCAAGGCCGCCAUCACCCAGAUCAAGCACAGUGAUCUCCCCAGCAAAACUAGGACCUGGAUCACAGAGAAUAUACAGAAAGUCAAGGAUAAAGUGGAGUCUACCUUCAAGAAACAUUAGCACGUUCUCCCUGGCUGGGCUCUGGCCUCCCAGGAGCCAAUCCCUUCCCCAUCGGAAGAAAGGGGCCUCUGAAAUGUCCUCCCUUCCCCCCAGCCACACUCAGGGAGCCCCCUGACCCUCUGUUCCCUGCAAUAAAUGUUUUGCAGUCA